rnacentral:rRNA from 1 species
UACGUAGGGUGCGAGCGUUGUCCGGAAUUACUGAGCGUAAAGAGCUCGUAGGUGGUUUGUCGCGUUGUUCGUGAAAACUCACAGCUCAACUGUGGGCGUGCGGGCGAUACGGGCAGACUGGAGUACUGCAGGGGGAGACUGGAAUUCCUGGUGUAGCGGUGGAAUGCGCAGAUAUCAGGAGGAACACCGGUGGCGAAGGCGGGUCUCUGG